rnacentral:rRNA from 1 species
CCUACGGGGGGCUGCAGUGAGGAAUAUUGGUCAAUGGGCGCAAGCCUGAACCAGCCAAGUCGCGUGAGGGAUGAAUGCCCUACGGGUUGUAAACUUCUUUUGUAGGGGAAUAAAGUGAGGCACGUGUGCCUUUUUGUAUGUACUUUGUGAAUAAAGAUCGGCUAAGUCCGUGCCAGGAGGCGCGGGCAUACGGAGGGUCUGAGGGUUAUCCGGAUUUAUUGGGGUUAAAGGGGUCGUAGAGGGGUUGUUAAGUCAGUGGUGAAAGUUUGCGGCUCAACCGUAGAAUGGCAAUUGAUACUGGCAGUCUUGAGUACAGUUGAGGUAGGCGGAAUUCGUGGUGUAGCGGUGAAAUGCUUAGAGAUCACGAAGAACCCAGAUUGCGAAGGCAGCUUACGAAACUGCCACUGACAUUGAUGCUCGAAAGUGUGGGUAUCAAACAGGAUUAGAGACACGAGUAGUC